UACAGAGGGGGCGAGCGUUGUUCGGAAUUACUGGGCGUAAAGGGCGCGUAGGCGGCCCGCUAAGUCGAACGUGAAAUCCCCAGGCUCAACCUGGGAACUGCGUCCGAUACUGGCAGGCUUGAAUCCGGGAGAGGUGAGUGGAAUUCCCAGUGUAGAGGUGAAAUUCGUAGAUAUUGGGAAGAACACCGGUGGCGAAGGCGGCUCACUGGCUCGUAUCUGACGCUCAGGCGCGACAGCGUGGGGAUCAAACAGG
rnacentral:rRNA from 1 species